rnacentral:rRNA from 1 species
UACAGAGGGGGCAAGCGUUGUUCGGAAUUACUGGGCGUAAAGGGCGCGUAGGCGGCCUGUUAAGUCGAACGUGAAAUCCCCGGGCUCAACCCGGGAACUGCGUCCGAUACUGGCAGGCUUGAAUUCGGGAGAGGGAUGUGGAAUUCCAGGUGUAGCGGUGAAAUGCGUAGAUAUCCGGAGGAACACCGGUGGCGAAGGCGGCAUCCUGGACCGGUAUUGACGCUGAGGAGCGAAAGCCAGGGGAGCAAACGGG